GAGGGUGUAGCUCAGUGGCAGAGCAUAUGCUUAGUAUGUGUGAGGUCCUGUGUUCAAUCCCCAGUCCCUUCA
rnacentral:tRNA from 1 species